AAUACAAUUAACAAUACAUUUUUAUAAAAUCAAUCAAUACUAAGUUAACUAAACACUAAUUUGGACUACACAAGUAAGAAGUUUGAAAUUAAGUAGGUAUAUACUACCACUUCAACUUUCAUUUUUGAAGAAAAGAUUACUAUUCGUGGUGGAGUAUUGACCGGGAAUCCAGUGUCUUGCGCCGAACCACCGCCUCUCCCCCGCAGACAGAAGCAG